GCUACGGCUGGCGGCGUGUCUUAGCCAUGCAAGUCGAGCGGACUUAUGGGGUAACUUAUAAGUCAGCGGCGGACGGCGGAGUAACACGUAGCUAACCUACCCUCUGGACGGGGAUAACCUACCGAAAGGUGGGCUAAUACCCGAUGUAGUCAUCCUGUAUAGGGGUGAUGAAAGGUGGGCUUCUGUUUACAAGCUCAUGCUGGAGGAGGGGGCUGCGGCCUAUCAGGUAGUUGGUAGGGUAAUAGCCUACCAAGCCGAUGACGGGUAGCCGGCCUGAGAGGGUGACCGGCCCGAGGGGCACUGAGAUACGGGUCCCACUCCUACGGGAGGCAGCAGGCUAGAAAUUUGGGCAAUGGGGGAAACCCUGACCCAGUGACGCCGCGUGCAGGAAGGAGCCCUUCGGGGUGUAAACUGCUGUCGUGUAGGGAGAAGGGUACUAAGGUGAACAAUCUUAGUACUUGACGGUACUACAGGAGGAAGCCCAGGCUAACCUCGUG
rnacentral:rRNA from 1 species